UACUAAUUAUUUCCUGGAAAAGAUAAAACUUGUACAAAGCCCUCUUUGUACUUUUUGUAAUAUACAACCAGAAACCAUUAUACACUUAUUGUGGGAAUGUGAAGAAGUACAAAUUUUGUUAGAAAAUUUUGAUACAUGGACUUCAUCUACAGCACAUGUAACACUUAACUAUAACUGUAAGACUUUUGUAUUCGGUAUUUUUUAUGUUAGAAACUGUAUUGUACAAAAUAAGAUAUUG
rnacentral:lncRNA from 1 species